UACGUAGGGGGCUAGCGUUGCUCGGAAUUACUGGGCGUAAAGCGCACGUAGGCGGCUCGUUAAGUCGGAGGUGAAAUCCUGGAGCUCAACUCCAGAACUGCCUUCGAUACUGUAGAGCUUGAGUUCGGGAGAGGUGAGUGGAACUGCGAGUGUAGAGGUGAAAUUCGUAGAUAUUCGCAAGAACACCAGUGGCGGAGGCGGCUCACUGGCCCGAUACUGACGCUGAGGUGCGAAAGCGUGGGGAGCAAACAGG
rnacentral:rRNA from 1 species